CACUUCUAAGGAAGGCAGCAGGCGCGCAAAUUACCCAAUCCUGACUCAGGGAGGUAGUGACAAGAAAUAACAAUAAACCGGCUUAUGCCGGUUUAAUUGGAAUGAGUACAAUUUAAACGUCUUAACGAGGAACAAUUGGAGGGCAAGUCUGGUGCCGGCAGCCGCGGUAAUUCCAGCUCCAAUAGCGUAUACUAAAGUUGUUGCAGUUAAAAAGCUCGUAGUUGGAUUUCUGUGGGGACGGAGCGGCCGGCCGCACAUCGCGGUUCGAGCUAGCGCUUUCCCUACAUCCUGCCGCGAACCGUGCUACCAUUAAUUUGGUGGCGCCGGGGAUCGGCUCGAUUACUUUGAGAAAAAUAGAGUGUUCAAAGCAGGCCACAUGCCUUGAAUAAGUUAGCAUGGAAUAAUAACUAAGGACUUCGGUUCUAUUUUGUUGGUGUUCGGGACUGAAGUAAUGAUUGAUAGGGACAGUUGGGGCGGUCUGUAUUCCAAAGCGAGAGGUGAAAUUCUUAGACCUUCGGAAGACAAACAGCUGCGAAAGCGUUCCGCAAGGAUGUUCCCUUUGAUCAAGAACGAAAGUUGGGGGAUCGAAGACGAUCAGAUACCGUCGUAGUCUCAACUAUAAACUAUACCAGCUAGGGAUCGGCCAACGUUAUUUUAUACCGACUUGGUCGGCACCUUAUGAGAAAUCAAAGCAUCUGGGUUCCGGGGGGAGUAUGGUCGCAAGGCUGAAACUUAAAGGAAUUGACGGAAGGGCACCACCAGCCGUGGAGCCUGUGGCUUAAUUUGACUCAACACGGGAAAACUUACCAGGUCCAGACAUAGUAAGGAUUGACAGAUUGAUAGCUCUUUCUUGAUUCUGUGGGUGGUGGUGCAUGGCCGUUCUUAGUUGGUGGAGUGAUUUGUCUGGUUAAUUCCGUUAACGAACGAGACCCCAGCCUGCUAAAUAGCGCGCAUGAGCUUUGCUCGUGGCGAGCUUCUUAGAGGGACUAUGAUGCGCGAUAGCACAUGGAAGUUUGGGGCAAUAACAGGUCUGUGAUGCCCUUAGAUGUUCUGGGCCGCACACGGGCUACACUGGCGCCUGCAACGAGCAUAUCAGCUGGCCCGAGAGGGUCUUGGCUAAUCUUUUGAACCGGCGCCGUGCUUGGGAUUGACCUUUGCAAUUGUUGGUCAUGCAACGAGGAAUGCCUUGUAAACGCGAGUCAUCAGCUCGCAUUGAAUACGUCCCUGCCCUUUGUACACACCGCCCGUCGCUCCUACCGAUGAAUGUUCCGAUGAAAUUUUCGGAGAGUGCCUGUGAACUUGGCUCUGCCUUGCGAACGGGAAGCUCAAAGUCACUUAAAUCUGAACAUUUCGAGG
rnacentral:rRNA from 1 species